rnacentral:rRNA from 1 species
UACGGGGGGGGCAAGCGUUGUUCGGAAUUACUGGGCGUAAAGGGCUCGUAGGCGGCCAACUAAGUCAGACGUGAAAUCCCUCGGCUUAACCGGGGAACUGCGUCUGAUACUGGAUGGCUAGAGAUUGGGAGAGGGAUGCGGAAUUCCUGGUGUAGCGGUGGAAUGCGCAGAUAUCAGGAGGAACACCGAUAGCGAAGGCAGCUCGCUGGGACGGUACUGACGCUGAGGUGCGAAAGCGUGGGGAGCGAACAGG